CUGUCACUUGGAACGAUGUGGGGGAUCUUCCAACUUAUACUAUUUAUAGCAAUAUUAUGGAUUUUUCCAUCAACAUUUUUCACAAACAUAUCAUCAGGGUUUUUCUCUUCAGCGAACCCCAUCAACAUUUUUAAAGGUACAGAAAAACUGAAAUGUCCUCCAGAAGGGAUAUUGUCCCCGCCACUCCACCCCGCAUUGCGAUAAGCCGCUCCUUCCUGUUGGCCGACUGAGAGAAAGUUCUUAAUAGUCGUUGUUAUUCCUAAAAUAGGCCAUACAAUUAUUUUUGAGCAAACCGCUAACGCCAUUUGUACUAGUCGUUCCUGUAUUUGAGUCAAUAAUUCUGCUAAGCGUUCCUUCAAAAUGGAGAAAAC